ensembl:snRNA U6 U6 spliceosomal RNA
GUGCUGGCUUCGGCAGCACAUAUCAUAAAAUAGGAAUGGUACAGAGAAGAUUAGCAUGACCCCUGUGCAAGGAUGAUGCGCGAAUUUGUGAAGAAUAUGAGGAAAAGCAGUAUUGACUUUUU